CGGGGUGUGGCGCAGUUGGCUAGCGCACCAGUAUGGGGUACUGGGGGUCAUCGGUUCGAGUCCGGUCACCCCGA
rnacentral:tRNA from 2 species